GUAACAAGGUUUCCGUAGGUGAACCUGCGGAAGGAUCAUUACUGAUUUGCUUAAUUGCACCACAUGUGUUUUUUAUUGAACAAAUUUCUUUGGUGGCGGGAGCAAUCCUACCGCCAGAGGUUAUAACUAAACCAAACUUUUUAUUUACAGUCAAACUUGAUUUAUUAUUACAAUAGUCAAAACUUUCAACAACGGAUCUCUUGGUUCUCGCAUCGAUGAAGAACGCAGCGAAAUGCGAUACGUAAUAUGAAUUGCAGAUAUUCGUGAAUCAUCGAAUCUUUGAACGCACAUUGCGCCCUUUGGUAUUCCAAAGGGCAUGCCUGUUUGAGCGUCAUUUCUCCCUCAAACCCCCGGGUUUGGUGUUGAGCAAUACGCUAGGUUUGUUUGAAAGAAUUUAACGUGGAAACUUAUUUUAAGCGACUUAGGUUUAUCCAAAAACGCUUAUUUUGCUAGUGGCCACCACAAUUUAUUUCAUAACUUUGACCUCAAAUCAGGUAGGACUACCCGCUGAACUUAAGCAUAUCAAUAAGCGGAGGAA
rnacentral:rRNA from 1 species